rnacentral:rRNA from 1 species
UACCCGCAGCACAAGUGGUGGUCAUUAUUAUUGGGCCUAAAGCGUCCGUAGCUGGCUUGUUAGAUGCCUGGGUAAAUCGAUGCGCUCAACGCAUCGACUUCCGGGUAGACCGGCAAGCUCGAGACCGGGAGAGGUGUAGGCUACUCGGGGGGUAGGGGUAAAAUCCUGUAAUCCUCCGGGGAGGACCAGUGGCGAAGGCGCUACACUAGAACGGCUCUGACAGUGAGGGACGAAGCCCUGGGGCGCAAACCGG